AUAACGACUCUCGGCAACGGAUAUCUCGGCUCUCGCAUCGAUGAAGAACGUAGCGAAAUGCGAUACUUGGUGUGAAUUGCAGAAUCCCGUGAACCAUCGAGUCUUUGAACGCAAGUUGCGCCCGAAGCCAUUAGGCUGAGGGCACGCCUGCCUGGGCGUCUCACA
rnacentral:rRNA from 3 species